GCUCAACCGGGGAGGGUCAUUGGAAACUGGGGAACUUGAGUGCAGAAGAGGAGAGUGGAAUUCCACGUGUAGCGGUGAAAUGCGUAGAGAUGUGGAGGAACACCAGUAGCGAAGGCGACUCUCUGGUCUGUAACUGACGCUGAGGCGCGAAAGCGUGGGGAGCGAACAGGAUUAGAUACCCUGGUAGUCCACGCCGUAAACGAUGAGUGCUAAGUGUUAGAGGGUUUCCGCCCUUUAGUGCUGCAGCAAACGCAUUAAGCACUCCGCCUGGGGAGUACGGUCGCAAGACUGAAACUCAAAGGAAUUGACGGGGGCCCGCACAAGCGGUGGAGCAUGUGGUUUAAUUCGAAGCAACGCGAAGAACCUUACCAGGUCUUGACAUCCUCUGACAACCCUAGAGAUAGGGCUUCCCCUUCGGGGGCAGAGUGACAGGUGGUGCAUGGUUGUCGUCAGCUCGUGUCGUGAGAUGUUGGGUUAAGUCCCGCAACGAGCGCAACCCUUGAUCUUAGUUGCCAGCAUUCAGUUGG
rnacentral:rRNA from 1 species